AUAUAGUGUAAAAUAGCAUGAGCAUGAAAAAUGUGAAACAUUACCAGUUAACCAUUCAUUGCAUUUAGUGGAUUGGGGUUUCAGAAGUAACCAUUCAUUAUCUGUGAGGUUAAGCAUUCCUCUAAUCUUCUCUAGUUUAGGAAUCAUUAGUGUGUCUUCUAAUGCCAGUCUUUGUUGUUGCAUCCAUAAAUACCUGAUGGC